GGGAAAGACAACGUUGUCUGACGCAGGCACUGCGAACAACUGAUUCUUUCUUGCUCCAGUGAUGUCCAUGUCGGCCACUUAAUACAAAGCAUUUCUGAACA